rnacentral:lncRNA from 1 species
AGAUUCCCCAGCUGCAAUCUCCUGCCAUCGGAUUGCAUCACCAACUCAACCUAAUUGAUAAGAGGUUUCACCAUGUUGCCCAGGCUGGUCUCAAACUCCUGGGCUCAAGCAAUCCAUCCACCUCAGCCUCCCGAAGUGUUGGGAUUACAGGUGUGAGCCACCAUGCCCGGCUGACUUUGCCUACUCUUGCCCUAAGAAAAUUGAAGCAAACCAAAGAGGAAUCCAGAAACUUCAAUACCACAUCUAUCCUCAACCAGAACCCACCCAAGGCCACCCUAACCGUGUACAUUGUACCCAUCCUCCUUUACUUACUCAAAGUCACCUCCCUUCUCUCUUCUGCAUCCCUAUGAUUUCCCCUUUAGUGGAUCCGCUUACAAACAUGCUAUUGUUUUUCUUCUAGCAAAACUUUACUUUGAUCCCACCUGUCUCUGUAGCUACCACGCCAUUCCUCUGGUCCCCUUUAUGAAAGAGCUCCUCAAAGAUUGUAUGUACCAACAUUUGCAGUUCGUCUCCUUUCAUUCCCUCUUAAGACCACUCAAAUCAGGCAGACCCCCUACCAGUCCAGUAAAACUGCUCUUGUCAAAGUUAUUAGGGACCUCCUUGUUGCUAAAUCCAGUAGCCUGUUCUCAGUCCUUACCUUAUUCCACCUCUCAAUAGCAUCAACACUGCUGAUCACUCCCUCCUCCAUGACUCUUUCUUCAUUUGGCUUCUAGGACACCCCACACGCUCCUGGUUUCCCACCCAUUAUCUUUUGCUGAUUCUUCCUCUUAACGUUGGAGGGCCCAGGACCCAGUCCUUGGACCUCCUCUCUGUCCCCACUGUUGCCGUUUGUCAUCUCACCAGUAUCCUGGUUUAAAUACUAUCUGAAUGCUGGCUCAAAUUUCUAUCUCUAGCCCAGACCUCUUCCUCUGAACUGCAUACUUGCAUUUCCAGUUGUUUACUUCACAUCUUCUAUGUUCAGAUCUGAAAAUCUGAACUCCUGAUCUCCCGUAAACCCCAAAGCUGAUCCCACAGUCUUGCU